UAGGGAAUUUUUCACAAUGAGCGAAAGCUUGAUGGAGCAAUGCCGCGUGAACGAUGAAGGUCUUUAAGAUUGUAAAGUUCUUUUAUUUGGGAAGAAUGACUUUAGCAGGUAAUGGCUAGAGUUUGACUGUACCAUUUUGAAUAAGUGACGACUAACUAUGUGCCAGCAGUCGCGGUAAUACAUAGGUCGCAAGCGUUAUCCGGACUUAUUGGGCGUAAAGCAAGCGCAGGCGGAUUGAAAAGUCUGGUGUUAAAGGCAGCUGCUUAACAGUUGUAUGCAUUGGAAACUAUUAAUCUAGAGUGUGGUAGGGAGUUUUGGAAUUUCAUGUGGAGCGGUGAAAUGCGUAGAUAUAUGAAGGAACACCAGUGGCGAAGGCGAAAACUUAGGCCAUUACUGACGCUUAGGCUUGAAAGUGUGGGGAGCAAAUAGGAUUAGAUACCCUAGUAGUCCACACCGUAAACGAUAGAUACUAGCUGUCGGGGCGAUCCCCUCGGUAGUGAAGUUAACACAUUAAGUAUCUCGCCUGGGUAGUACAUUCGCAAGAAUG
rnacentral:rRNA from 1 species